rnacentral:rRNA from 1 species
GACGAACGCUGGCGGCGUGCUUAACACAUGCAAGUCGAACGGUAAGGCCCUGCUUUUGUGGGGUGCUCGAGUGGCGAACGGGUGAGUAACACGUGAGUAACCUGCCCUUGACUUUGGGAUAACUUCAGGAAACUGGGGCUAAUACCGGAUAGGAGCUCCUGCUGCAUGGUGGGGGUUGGAAAGUUUCGGCGGUUGGGGAUGGACUCGCGGCUUAUCAGCUUGUUGGUGGGGUAGUGGCUUACCAAGGCUUUGACGGGUAGCCGGCCUGAGAGGGUGACCGGCCACAUUGGGACUGAGAUACGGCCCAGACUCCUACGGGGGGCAGCAGUGGGGAAUAUUGCACAAUGGGCGGAAGCCUGAUGCAGCAACGCCGCGUGCGGGAUGACGGCCUUCGGGUUGUAAACCGCUUUCGCCUGUGACGAAGCGUGAGUGACGGUAAUGGGUAAAGAAGCACCGGCUAACUACGUG